ACAGGGUGCGGUGGCGUGUGCCUGUAGUCCCAGCUACUUGGGAGGCUGAGGCUGGAGGAUCACUUGAGCCCAGGAGUUCUGGGCUGUAGGGCGCUGUGCCGAUUGGGUGUCCGCAGUAAGUUUGUCAUCAACAUGGUGACCUCCUGGGAGUUGUAGACAACCAGGUUGCCUAAGGAGAGGUGAACCGGCCCAGAUCAGAAACAGAGCAGAUCAAAACUCCCAUGCUGAUCAGUAGUGGGAUCGCAUCUGUGAAUAGUCACUGCACUCCAGCCUAGGCAACAUAGCGAGACCCUCUU
rnacentral:SRP_RNA from 1 species